rnacentral:rRNA from 1 species
CCUACGGGUGGCAGCAGUGAGGAAUAUUGGUCAAUGGACGAGAGUCUGAACCAGCCACGUAGCGUGAAGGAUGACUGCCCUAUGGGUUGUAAACUUCUUUUAUAUGGGAAUAAAAUGUUCCACGUGUGGGAUUUUGUAUGUACCAUAUGAAUAAGGAUCGGCUAACUCCGUGCCAGCAGCCGCGGUAAUACGGAGGAUCCGAGCGUUAUCCGGAUUUAUUGGGUUUAAAGGGAGCGUAGGUGGAUUGUUAAGUCAGUUGUGAAAGUUUGCGGCUCAACCGUAAAAUUGCAGUUGAAACUGGAAGGCUUGAGUACAGGAGAGGUGGGCGGAAUUCGUGGUGUAGCGGUGAAAUGCUUAGAUAUUACGAAGAACACCGAUUGCGAAGGCAGUUCACUGGACUGCAACCGACACUGAGGCUCGAAAGUGUGGGUAUCAAACAGGAUUAGAUACCCUGGUAGUC